AAUCCUAACGGAGGGAGCAGGGGGGAAUAUUGGACAAUGGGCGAAAGCCUGAAGCCUGGACCCCCGGUGGGGGAUGACGGCCUUCCGGUUGGAAACCCCUUUCCAUAAGGAAAAAACGAAAAUGGAGGGACCUGGCAAAAAAACGCCCGCUAACUACCUGCCCACAGCCCCGGUAAUACGUAAGGCGCAAGCGGUGGCCGGAAUUAUUGGGCGUAAAGAACUUGUAAGUGGCUUGGCGCGGCUGGCGUGAAAACCCGAAGCUCCACCCUCGGCGGGGCGUGGGUACCGGCAAGCUUAAGUGUGGGAAGGGAAAAUGGAACUUCUGGUGUAACGGUGAAAUGCGCAAAUAAUCGGAAUAACCCCCAAUGCGAAGGAAGUCUCUGGGCCCUUACUGACUCUGAAAAGCUGAAAGCAUGGGUAAUGAACAAGGAAUAAAUAACCUGGUAAGCCCAUGGCGGCAAACGGUGGGCACUACGUGUGGAGGGGACAUUCCCACGUUUUCCGCGCUCGUAACUCACGGCAUAAGUGGCUCCGCCCUGGCGAGUACGGACGCCAGGCUAAACUCAAAAGGAAUUGACGAGUGGACCGCAUCAAGCGGCGGAGCAUGCUGAUUACUUCGAUGCUACGCGAGAGCUUAACCAACGCUUGACAUGCACUGACGGCUGCACAGAUGAGCUUUCUUUGACUGUGCACAGGUGUGCAUGAUGUCGAUCAGCUCGCGUCCGUGACAUGUGGUAAGUCGCACGAGCGCAACCUCGUCAUCGGUGCAGCACGUGAUGUGGGACUCUAGGAAACUGGCGAGUCACUCGAGAA
rnacentral:rRNA from 1 species